rnacentral:tRNA from 1 species
GGGGUUGUGGCUCAGUGGUAGAGCACUUGCCUAGCAUGCAGGAGGCACUAGGUUUGAUUCUCAGCACCA